UGGGGAAUUUUGGACAAUGGGCGAAAGCCUGAUCCAGCAAUGCCGCGUGUGUGAAGAAGGCCUUCGGGUUGUAAAGCACUUUUGUCCGGAAAGAAAUCCUUGGCUCUAAUACAGUCGGGGGAUGACGGUACCGGAAGAAUAAGCACCGGCUAACUACGUGCCAGCAGCCGCGGUAAUACGUAGGGUGCAAGCGUUAAUCGGAAUUACUGGGCGUAAAGCGUGCGCAGGCGGUUUGCUAAGACCGAUGUGAAAUCCCCGGGCUCAACCUGGGAACUGCAUUGGUGACUGGCAGGCUAGAGUAUGGCAGAGGGGGGUAGAAUUCCACGUGUAGCAGUGAAAUGCGUAGAGAUGUGGAGGAAUACCGAUGGCGAAGGCAGCCCCCUGGGCCAAUACUGACGCUCAUGCACGAAAAGCGUGGGGGAGCAAAACAGGAUUAGAUACCCCUGGUAGUCCACGCCCUAAAACGAUGUCAACUAGUUGUUGGGGAUUCAUUUCCUUAGUAACGUAGCUAACGCGUGAAGUUGACCGCCUGGGGAGUACGGUCGCAAGAUUAAAACUCAAAUGAAUUGACGGGGUCAUAGCUGUUUCCU
rnacentral:rRNA from 1 species